rnacentral:rRNA from 1 species
GAUGGACGCUGGCGGCGUGCCUAAUACAUGCAAGUCGAGCGAACAGACGAGGAGCUUGCUCCUCUGACGUUAGCGGCGGACGGGUGAGUAACACGUGGAUAACCUACCUAUAAGACUGGGAUAACUUCGGGAAACCGGAGCUAAUACCGGAUAAUAUAUUGAACCGCAUGGUUCAAUAGUGAAAGACGGUUUUGCUGUCACUUAUAGAUGGAUCCGCGCCGCAUUAGCUAGUUGGUAAGGUAACGGCUUACCAAGGCAACGAUGCGUAGCCGACCUGAGAGGGUGAUCGGCCACACUGGAACUGAGACACGGUCCAGACUCCUACGGGAGGCAGCAGUAGGGAAUCUUCCGCAAUGGGCGAAAGCUUGACGGAGCAACGCCGCGUGAGUGAUGAAGGUCUUCGGAUCGUAAAACUCUGUUAUUAGGGAAGAACAAAUGUGUAAGUAACUAUGCACGUCUUGACGGUACCUAAUCAGAAAGCCACGGCUAACUACGU